rnacentral:rRNA from 1 species
AGAGUUUGAUCAUGGCUCAGAUUGAACGCUGGCGGCAGGCCUAACACAUGCAAGUCGAACGGUAACAGGAAGCAGCUUGCUGCUUUGCUGACGAGUGGCGGACGGGUGAGUAAUGUCUGGGAAACUGCCUGAUGGAGGGGGAUAACUACUGGAAACGGUGGCUAAUACCGCAUAACGUCGCAAGACCAAAGAGGGGGACCUUCGGGCCUCUUGCCAUCAGAUGUGCCCAGAUGGGAUUAGCUUGUUGGUGAGGUAACGGCUCACCAAGGCGACGAUCCCUAGCUGGUCUGAGAGGAUGACCAGCCACACUGGAACUGAGACACGGUCCAGACUCCUACGGGAGGCAGCAGUGGGGAAUAUUGCACAAUGGGCGCAAGCCUGAUGCAGCCAUGCCGCGUGUAUGAAGAAGGCCUUCGGGUUGUAAAGUACUUUCAGCGGGGAGGAAGGUGUUGUGGUUAAUAACCGCAGCAAUUGACGUUAUCCGCAGAAGAAGCACCGGCUAACUCCGUGCCAGCAGCCGCGGUAAUACGGAGGGUGCAAGCGUUAAUCGGAAUUACUGGGCGUAAAGCGCACGCAGGCGGUCUGUCAAGUCGGAUGUGAAAUCCCCGGGCUCAACCUGGGAACUGCAUUCGAAACUGGCAGGCUUGAGUCUUGUAGAGGGGGGUAGAAUUCCAGGUGUAGCGGUGAAAUGCGUAGAGAUCUGGAGGAAUACCGGUGGCGAAGGCGGCCCCCUGGACAAAGACUGACGCUCAGGUGCGAAAGCGUGGGGAGCAAACAGGAUUAGAUACCCUGGUAGUCCACGCCGUAAACGAUGUCUACUUGGAGGUUGUGCCCUUGAGGCGUGGCUUCCGGAGCUAACGCGUUAAGUAGACCGCCUGGGGAGUACGGCCGCAAGGUUAAAACUCAAAUGAAUUGACGGGGGCCCGCACAAGCGGUGGAGCAUGUGGUUUAAUUCGAUGCAACGCGAAGAACCUUACCUGGUCUUGACAUCCACGGAAGAAUUCAGAGAUGGAUUUGUGCCUUCGGGAACCGUGAGACAGGUGCUGCAUGGCUGUCGUCAGCUCGUGUUGUGAAAUGUUGGGUUAAGUCCCGCAACGAGCGCAACCCUUAUCCUUUGUUGCCAGCGGUCCGGCCGGGAACUCAAAGGAGACUGCCAGUGAUAAACUGGAGGAAGGUGGGGAUGACGUCAAGUCAUCAUGGCCCUUACGACCAGGGCUACACACGUGCUACAAUGGCGCAUACAAAGAGAAGCGACCUCGCGAGAGCAAGCGGACCUCAUAAAGUGCGUCGUAGUCCGGAUUGGAGUCUGCAACUCGACUCCAUGAAGUCGGAAUCGCUAGUAAUCGUGGAUCAGAAUGCCACGGUGAAUACGUUCCCGGGCCUUGUACACACCGCCCGUCACACCAUGGGAGUGGGUUGCAAAAGAAGUAGGUAGCUUAACCUUCGGGAGGGCGCUUACCACUUUGUGAUUCAUGACUGGGGUGAAGUCGUAACAAGGUAACCGUAGGGGAACCUGCGGUUGGAUCACCU